GGAACAGAAAGCAGAGUAGAUUAAGAGGAGCAAGUACAAAUGGCGUGGGACUUCAAAUCACCACCUAAGAUUACUUCUUUGAUUUCUGAAAAAGUAGGUCAAAGGAAGAUGUCAGGGGCAAGAAACCAAUUGGGUGUUGUGCCUAAGAACGUGGACCCUGUGGCCAGACUGCUUGGAUCAGUGUCCUCCCUCCACCACUUUGUAGCCAUCUGACCUCAGUGCUGGAGCAGAGGUACUGAAUGAGGAAGUGGAGUCUUGGGAUACCUUUGGAGGGAUCCAGUUAAUGGACUGGCUGCCAUAAUUGGUCUGAGACACUGGUGCAAGCAUGAGAAUGGGAAUCUACAGGUCUCUAUCCCUGGUGAGCCCGGAGGUUGAGUUUUCACAAGGGCAGCAAGAAGAAUCCCUUCUCCUCUUCCUGUCCACCUUCUGAAGAGGAGGAGACAGAGCCGGGUUGCAGAUCCUCACCAAAGUGGAUGCUGUUCCCAGAGGAAGGAAGGCCCCCCCGGGGCAAGGUUGCCAACAUGACCCCACAGAGACCAGGAACAAACGUUCUUGCCUUUGGACUUCACUUCUUCACAGAGCCAGAGUUACAGGCCAACCUGAAGAUGGUAUCAUGACUCACACACACUUAUUUCUCAGCCUCAGCCAGGCUCAAGAGCAAGACUGCUGAAGGAGGAAGGGCCCUUCAUGGCCUCCUCUGCCUCGUGACUGCUUUACCUGCCACUGAUGAGGCUUCCCUGGGAUGAGAUGGAGACGAGGGCACUGAAUGACUUUGAGUUAGGGGGACUCAAGAGGGUGA
rnacentral:lncRNA from 1 species